UAGGGAAUAUUGGACAAUGGGUGAGAGCCUGAUCCAGCCAUGCCGCGUGCAGGAAGAAGGCGUUAUGCGUUGUAAACUGCUUUUGCCAGGGGAUAAAAAGACCGUGCGCGGUUAAUUGAAGGUACCUGGUGAAUAAGCCACGGCUAACUACGUGCCAGCAGCCGCGGUAAUACGUAGGUGGCAAGCGUUGUCCGGAUUUAUUGGGUUUAAAGGGUGCGUAGGUGGUCCUGUAAGUCAGUGGUGAAAUAUCUCAGCUUAACUGAGAGGGUGCCAUUGAUACUGCAGGGCUUGAGUACAGAUGAGGUAGGCGGAAUUGACGGUGUAGCGGUGAAAUGCAUAGAUAUCGUCAAGAACACCGAUAGCGAAGGCAGCUUACCAAGCUGUAACUGACACUGAGGCACGAAAGUGUGGGGAUCAAACAGGAUUAGAUACCCAAGUAGUCCCUGAGCGGGCUGGCAAGGCGCAU
rnacentral:rRNA from 1 species